GGCCGCGUGGCGCAAUGGAUAACGCGUCUGCUUACGGAGCAGAAGAUUCCAGGUUUGGAUCCUGGCGUCGUCG
rnacentral:tRNA from 1 species